CAAUAACCGCUGCAGUAUGCACAGCCGGCACAUGCGCCAGCACUCUCCCCUGUAACACUCAACUGUGCGCCUGCGCCCAGAAGCCCCGGCAAACACCAUCUGAUACACGUGGGAUGCCAGCAUGGGGAGAAGGGAAUCCACAGGAAGUUAACAAGCAGAGGACUCGUGUGAAGCAAAACCCAGCACAAGACACCACUACUGAGAAAACAGCGACUAAUGCGAAAAAUUAUGCAACAAAUCGACAUCCUGGGGAUUUUCACAGCAUUUGGAUGAUGUUUGUUACAUUAUCUUGAUUCAUUCAGCCGAUUUCUCCAAUGAAUAUCCGCAAGAAAAACCGGCACACUUCUGAUCUCAUGUAAAUUUACCCUAAGAGAAAGUCUACCCGAGUCCACAGCCGCAGGAGAAUCCUGCUAUCCGGAUCCUUAGUUGGUGAACCUGUCAGCAAUUGAUCAAUUCCCCUACAGCGACACCACAGGAGAAACCCAAACCAUCAUGAAUGACUAUUUCCUCCAGCCGUGACUCACCUCCACAGAACCUGUCAGACAAACAUUUUAGGCUCCACAUUUUUCCAACACCUUUGGUAUCCCAAACAGUAAAAAGAGCCUUAGCUGUCUGCAUACAAGUCAUCAUUGCUGCCAGCCAUCCUGCAAUCGCUUGGAGCUGGGUAAAGUGGACAAGCUGCUUAUUCAAGAUCUAGUAUCUGCAUUAUCAUGUUUUUUUUUCCCUGUUUUUACAUUACAUUUUUUUGUCUUUAAUUAUUGUUAUAAAAUUUUUC